UUUCUGGUUACUUCCACUUGGGGCUUCUGAGCCCAGGAGACUCCUGAGGGUUUUGUCUUUUACAGUGCAGCUGAUCAACACUGCGAGGACCUGAAAACUACCUACAAAGAAUCUGAAACCUCGACACCUGAAAAUAGGAGUCUUCUGAGAAAUGGGAACCCAAAACUGAAGGCUACCUAAACCAAGAGUCCCUUUUCCACAGCUCAGAAUCUCUUCAGCUACUUCAGACCUUUUGCCCUGGCAAGUCCAUUAGGAAGAAACACCAAGCAUAUGUGAGAGUCUCUUGCAGGGUCACCAUAACUGGAAACUGAUUUCAUUAAUGAAAACAGUGAAACCUCAUCAUGGGAGGGUCCAGACUCCCCCUGAGCAGUUUGGACACGAGGGAAUGUCUAGAAUCUCCUUCUUGGUUUCACAGUAUCCUCCUGAAUUUGUGUUGUAAAAAUGCUGCUCUCCAUAUCUCAACAUUGAACUGCUCUGGAAUCCAGGACCUGAAGCUCACCAAGUACCCAGAUGAGAGAGGGAGGGCAGGGAAACAGAUGGAAUUUUGUCAAUAACCAUACAGAUUCAGAUUAAAAAAAUCCCUUUUUGUGUUUGUUGGAACUACUGGAAGGGUAUAGUUUUCUAAUGAAAAUGUUUUGGUUGAUUAAACAGAGAAUAACUGGAAUAUUUUUGGACCAUCUAAUUAAGCAGAAGGGGAGCCCACCAAAUGUUGAGGAAUCAAUCUGAUAAUGGGAAGAAUUUGCAUUAAAAGGUGCCUGAGUGCCAUAGUGGCAGUGAAACUGCAUAUGAAAUUCAUGGCAAUUUAACAGGAUUUUACAACAUCUGAAACGACAAUGUCAGAAAUUACACAAAACUGCAUCGUGCAGGAUGUUGCCACCGCAGGAAAAGAUGACUGAGGCAAGCUCAGGCUGUCUGAACAUCUACAAGAGCACUGUCAUGUCUCAUUCAUUCCCUGAUCACAGCUGCAGGACCAAUGAUUUUUCCUGGCAUUGUGCUUUAUAUCUUGAGAGGAGGCUUAUUUGAAUGAAAAUACUAAUACAAGCAAAUUAGUUUUGGGCAUGCUGAACUGAGAUAGAACCAUUUGGCUUUCUGAUUUAUUUUCUGUUCAGUAAUUCAGGAGGUAUAUAUGCAUUCUAUCUGAGUAAUUUUUCUUCUGAUGGGGCUCAGAACUGUGCAUUUAGAGUGGGUAGGGGAUUUAGAGCCUCCUGUAGCCCUGAAGCUCAGUUUCCCACACCAGGAUGCUGAUAUACUGAAACCAGACACAAUGAGGUUCCUGUGCUCUCUCCUUUCCUCUGCAGAGUCUCUGGUGUGGGCCAGAAAGCCAAGACUCACCUUUCUGACCAUGCAGCCUGACCUCAAGCAUCCCAUAAAGCUCUUGCUUUCCCACAAUAACACAUCCUUUCUCUCCCAUGAGUUGUAUUUGUUGCGUUGUCACUUUAUUCUGUAACACAUUUCCUCUCUGUCCUUUAUUAGCUGUGGUUGUUGUGGCCUUUCAUGGGCGACAGGAAAAAGAACAUAAUAGACACCAAGAGAGAUGUCAUGGAGCUUCCAGACAUUCAUUCUCAGCAUGCUUUUGAGCAAGAACUGGGGAAAGGGCCAUGUUGUGCAUAGGAAAUGCAUAUGGCAGGGCAGUACUAUAGCUGCCACAUGCAUUUACCCAGGGAACACUCAUCAUCAAGAGGAUCUCACUGCAUGCAAGCUAUAGGGAUACACAUCUUGGAGGUGAAAGGAAAACUGCUGUUAGGGUUAUUGUGUUGGUUUCCUUAACAAGAAAAGAGCUAGCAAGUGUACAGUGUUGAAGGGGACACAGGAAGUCCAGUAAAUGUGGAAUAAUAAGUGUCUUGAAGUAUUACAUCAAGUCAACCCGCUGGACAAGUUUUAUAAAUGUUAUAUCUUAUUCCUUGAGUUUACUGCUUCUGAAAAUA